GAUGAACGCUGGCGGCGUGCCUAAUACAUGCAAGUCGAGCGAACAGACGAGGAGCUUGCUCCUCUGACGUUAGCGGCGGACGGGUGAGUAACACGUGGAUAACCUACCUAUAAGACUGGGAUAACUUCGGGAAGCCGGAGCUAAUACCGGAUAAUAUAUUGAACCGCAUGGUUCAAUAGUGAAAGACGGUUUUGCUGUCACUUAUAGAUGGAUCCGCGCCGCAUUAGCUAGUUGGUAAGGUAACGGCUUACCAAGGCAACGAUGCGUAGCCGACCUGAGAGGGUGAUCGGCCACACUGGAACUGAGACACGGUCCAGACUCCUACGGGAGGCAGCAGUAGGGAAUCUUCCGCAAUGGGCGAAGGCCUGACGGAGCAACGCCGCGUGAGUGAUGAAGGUCUUCGGAUCGUAAAACUCUGUUAUUAGGGAAGAACAAAUGUGUAAGUAACUAUGCACGUCUUGACGGUACCUAAUCAGAAAGCCACGGCUAACUACGUG
rnacentral:rRNA from 1 species